GGUCCUGUAGCUCAGUCGGUUAGAGCGUGGUGCUAAUAACGCCAAGGUCGCGAGUUCGACCCUCGUCGGGACCA
rfam:Aspergillus terreus NIH2624 scaffold_10 genomic scaffold, whole genome shotgun sequence.